rnacentral:rRNA from 1 species
AUUGAACGCUAGCGGGAUGCCUUACACAUGCAAGUCGAACGGAGUGGCGAACGGGUGCGUAAUGUAUCGGAACGUGCCCCGUAGCGGUGGAUAACUACGCGAACGCGUAGCUAAUACCGCAUACUAUUGGAGCGGCCGAUAUCGGAUUGGCUAGUUGGUGGGGUAAAGGCUCACCAGGGCGACGAUCCGUAGCUGGUUUGAGAGGAGAACCAGCCACACUGGGACUGAGACACGGCCAAGACUCCUACGGGAGGCAGCAGUGGGGAAUUUUGGACAAUGGGGGAAACCCUGAGCCAGCCAUCCCGCGUGUGCGAUGAGGGCCUUCGGGUUGUAAAGCACUUUUGGCAGGAAAGCGGUACCUGAAGAAUAAGCAACGGCUAACUACGUGCCAGCAGCCGCGGUAAUAC